CUGGACAUGAUGCUUAAUCUUUGUUUGGUUACUUCAAUUGUCACUCAAAAACUUGGCAUUGGUGGGUUCAGUAUGGGUGCUGCAACUGCAUUGUACCCUGCCUCUUGCUUCACACAUGGAAAAUACGAAAAUGGCAGUCUAUAGACUCUAAUACCCCAUAAACUUCAGUGCAGUCAUUGGCCUCAGUGGCUGGCUUCCAUGCUCAAGGUCUGUUCUAUCUUAAAAUGUCCAAUGUUUGAUCUAUGAAAAUAUCACAUCUAUCGAAUUCUCGGCAUGUGAAUAAAAAAUGCAAGAAAAUAUGCAUGUUCCACUCACCCAGGAGCUUGAACACUAAGGUGGAAAGCUCACAUGAUGCUGCAAGGUGAGCUGCCUCCUUGCCAGUUCCAUUGUGUCAUGGAAGAGGUACCUUCUCUGUCACAGAAGAACAUGAUUAGAUAACUUCGAUAUGCAGUUAUCUUGCAAUAAAUGUGGAGAAGAAUUGAUAAGCCAAAAGAUGUGAACGUUACUGUUUGAUUCGUUUUGCCAUACCAACAGGAGCUCAGAAUCCUGAUUUGGAUGCACACAAUUUACCAUGAGUUUGUUUCAGGUGAUGGAGUGGUUCCGUAUAAACACGGGAAAAUUCUGGAGAGGUUCUAAGAGUGUUUGGGUUCAGAAAUCUCACGUUCAAGACCUUUUACAAUGGGUAUGUCUCUGAUGCUGUUGUUGUUGUUCCAUCGAUUCAUAUUUCUGACUUCUGAAAACUAGAUUC
rnacentral:lncRNA from 1 species